UAGUAACGGCGAGUGAAGAGGAAAGAGCUCAAAGUUGGAACCUGUUUGGCUUAGCUAAACCGGAUUGUAAACUGUAGAAGUGUUUUCCAGACACGCCUGGUAAAAAAGUCCUUUGGAACAGGGCAUCAUAGAGGGUGAGAAUCCCGUCAUUGGCCAGAGCUGUUGUCUUUUGUGAUACAUUUUCAAAGAGUCAGGUUGUUUGGGAAUGCAGCCUAAAUUGGGUGGUAAAUCUCACCUAAAGCUAAAUAUUUGCGAGAGACCGAUAGCGAACAAGUACCGUGAGGGAAAGAUGAAAAGAACUUUGAAAAGAGAGUUAAACAGUAUGUGAAAUUGUUAAAAGGGAACCGUUUGGAGCCAGACUGGCUUGAUCGUAAUCACUCUAGGCUUUGGCCUGGAUGCACUUGCGGUCUAUGCCGGCCAACGACAGUUUUGUUUGAGGGAAAAAAUUACAUUGAAUGUGGCCCUUCGGGGUGUUAUAGCUUUGUAAAAAAUACCUUGGACGGGACUGAGGAACGCAGCGAAUGCCUUUAGGCGAGAUUGCUGGGUGCUUGCGCUGAUACAUGCUAGAAUUUCUGCUUCGGGUGGUGCUAGUGUGUAAAGGAGUAACCCGCUUAGUAUAUUUUUUAUUCGCUUAGGUUGUUGGCUUAAUGACUCUAAAUGACCCGUCUUGAAACACGGACCAAGGAGUCCACCAUUAGUGCAAGUAUUUGGGUGACAAACCCAUAUGCGCAAGGAAACUGAUUGAUACGAAGGCGCAAGCUGGCAGUAUCACCCGGCGUUGACGUUUUAUACUGAACUGACCGAGGUAAAGCACUAAUGAUGGGACCCGAAAGAUGGUGAACUAUGCCUGAAUAGGGUGAAGCCGGAGGAAACUCCGGUGGAGGCUCGUAGCGAUUCUGACGUGCAAAUCGAUCGUCAAAUUUGGGUAUAG
rnacentral:rRNA from 1 species